rnacentral:rRNA from 1 species
UACGAAGGGGGCUAGCGUUGCUCGGAAUCACUGGGCGUAAAGGGUGCGUAGGCGGGUCUUUAAGUCAGGGGUGAAAUCCCUCGGCUCAACCGAGGAAGUGCAUCCGAAACUGCCGGGCUUGAGUACGGAAGAGGGUCUCGGAAUUCCCGGUGUAGAGGUGAAAUUCGUAGAUAUCGGGAGGAACACCAGUGGCGAAGGCGGCUCACUGGUCCGGUACUGACGCUGAGGUGCGAAAGCGUGGGGAGCAAACAGG